UAAAAAUAAAAACAAAAAGUUUUCAACUCUGAUCAAACAGAUGCGUAACUUCAGGAAGAGAGAGAAAUCGAGUCUUGGAUCUUUAAGGCAUCAGACCUUCGAUCUCCAUCAUUUCUUCGGUUGUUUGAUCUGAAAAAUCUUGUUCUGCUCUUCAUUUGAGCGUAUAUCUUCCAGAUUGUUCGAAUCCCUAUGAUCUAAAUAGAUCUAGGGCUUAAGGUUAGCGUUUUCAGGAGCGUAUAUCUUCCAGAUAGUUCGAAUCCAUAUGAUCUAAAUCGGUCUAGGGCUCAAGGUUAGGGUUUUCUGAUAUGGAUUUGCUACAUUGAGUAGGGCUCAAGCAAUUGGCGUUGGAUGUGGAUCGUUGGAAACAGUGAGUAGAAGCUCAAUGAUGAAGAGAUAUAGAUCAUAGUUAUUCUUGUGGUGAUCUUCUAAUGGAGUUGGGUGCUGGGGUAGAGUUGGCAACUACAGCUGUGCCACACCUUUUUUUGUCUUUGGCUUGUGCUACCAAUGUGGCCAAGAAUGUUGGUGCUGUCACAUCAACCGCAACUCGCACUCCAAUAUACAAAGCCUUUGCCAAAGGUGAAAACAUUGGGGAUGUUACUGCGAAGGGAGAAUGUGUUGGCAAUGUUGUCGAUUUGGGAGACAUCCUGGAAGAUCCAACAAAGGAGCCAAACAAGGACAUGUACAUGAUGACUAUUGAGCCAGAAGAUGCACCCAACCAACCUGAAUAUGUACAAAUUGGGAUGGUUUCAGGGCUUCCUAUUUCAGUCAGUGGAAAGGAAUUCUCCCCUGCAUCUCUGCUUUCUGAGCUGAAUGAAAUUGGUGGGCAUAUUAUUUGAGAACUGGGCAAUGCAAGUUUGGGAGCACUUGUAAAUUCCACCAUCCUCCACGAUCUAAUAUGAUGGCCUAAUUUUAAGGUUUACUUACAGUGGUUAAUGAAAUAGUGUUACAUUAUGUGUAGGAAAAGAAAUAGUGUUACAUUGGAGGUACCCCUGUUUCAAGGUUGAAAUAGUGUUCUAUUUCAAGGUUUGUUCGAAAGUGCAUCUUAGAUGAACCUUAUAGGUACCCGUGUUUCUCUUAUUGACCACAUUGGAGGUAUUCCUAUUUCUUUUAUCUCUUCUAACAUGGAUGAACCUUUAUGGCCCAAUGGCUUGUAUAUGCACCUUAAAGAAUAUUUUUAUUUUUAUUUUUUGGCUUCUUCUUUCCAAUUAUUAUUAUUAUUAUUAUUAUUAUUAUUAUUAUUAUUAUUCUUAUUCUUAUUAUUAUUAUUCUUUUCAAAAAUCUGACUAUGACAAGUUUUAUUGAUUGCAUGGUGGAUUCAAGAACAUGCAUAAAUGUCAGCCCAUGUAUUGUACAAUUGGGGAAAACCAUUUCAAAGUAAGUCCUGGGUCAUCAAAUGCAUCUAGUUCUAGCUCAUCAAAAGAGCAGCAUAAUCAACAAUAUCCAGUACCAGAGGUCAAACGCAAAAAGCGACAUCGGAGAAAGCAUUUUGAGAACCAAGAACCAUGUUUGAUGAGAGGUGUCUAAUUUAAGAAUAUGAAAUGGCAGGCAGCCAUAAAAGUUGACAAGAAACAAAUUCACUUGGGGACUGCUGGAUCUCAAGAAGCUGCAGCUCGUUUGUAUGACAGUUAAUAUGGUGCAGAAGUGGUUUAAUUGAUUGCAUUAGUAGGCUAAGCAAGAAUCUGCUCCGCUCGUUUUGGGUGGAAAGCUGUGGAGGAGCGCUCAUAGAACUCCCAAGCAAGAUAUUGCCUUUGUGAAUUUUGGCCUGUUGGAUGAUAUUUUCUUUGUGAACUCCCAAGCAUUUCAUCAUUCUUAUUGUUAAAUUUUUAUUUGCUUAUUAUUGUGCUAACCAAGAUUGUAGAAAAUUGAUGUGGAACUUCUGUUCAAAUUAUAUUUUUUUGCUUGUCUUGUUGAGUUUGUUA